rnacentral:rRNA from 1 species
AGGUGCGAUCAUACCAGCACUAAUGCACCGGAUCCCAUCAGAACUCCGCAGUCAAGCGUGCUUGGUCGAGAGUAGUACUAGGAUGGGUGACCUCCUGGGAAGUCCUCGUGUUGCACUUC